rnacentral:rRNA from 1 species
UACAGAGGUCCCAAGCGUUGUUCGGAUUCACUGGGCGUAAAGGGUGCGCAGGUGGUUUGGCAAGUUUGAUGUGAAAGCCCCGGGCUUAACCCGGGAAUGGCAUUGAAUACUGCUUGAACUGGAGGGUCGGAGGGGGGACUGGAAUUCUUGGUGUAGCAGUGAAAUGCGUAGAUAUCAAGAGGAACACCAGUGGCGAAGGCGACUCUCUGGACUGUAACUGACGCUGAGGAGCGAAAGCGUGGGGAGCAAACAGG